UACGGGGGGGGCAAGCGUUGUUCGGAAUUACUGGGCGUAAAGGGCUCGUAGGCGGCCAACUAAGUCGGAUGUGAAAUCCCCAAGCUUAACUUGGGAACUGCAUCCGAUACUGGAUGGCUUGAAUCCGGGAGAGGGAUGCAGAAUUCCAGGUGUAGCGGUGAAAUGCGUAGAUAUCAGGAGGAACACCGGUGGCGAAGGCGGCUGCCUGGCCUAGGACUGACGCUGAGACGCGAAAGCGUGGGGAGCGAACGGG
rnacentral:rRNA from 1 species